rnacentral:rRNA from 1 species
UGGCGGCGUGCCUUACACAUGCUNCUUCGAACGGGAAAUCUUCGGAUUCUAGUGGCGGACGGGUGAGUAACGCGUAAGAAUCUAACUUCAGGACGGGGACAACAGUUGGAAACGACUGCUAAUACCCGAUGUGCCGCGAGGUGAAACCUAAUUGGCCUGAAGAAGAGCUUGCGUCUGAUUAGCUAGUUGGUGGGGUAAGAGCCUACCAAGGCGACGAUCAGUAGCUGGUCUGAGAGGAUGAGCAGCCACACUGGGACUGAGACACGGCCCAGACUCCUACGGGAGGCAGCAGUGGGGAAUUUUCCGCAAUGGGCGAAAGCCUGACGGAGCAACGCCGCGUGAGGGAGGAAGGUCUUUGGAUUGUAAACCUCUUUUCUCAAGGAAGAAGUUCUGACGGUACUUGAGGAAUCAGCCUCGGCUAACUCCGUGCCAGCAGCCGCGGUAAUACGGGGGAGGCAAGCGUUAUCCGGAAUUAUUGGGCGUAAAGCGUCCGCAGGUGGUCAGCCAAGUCUGCUGUCAAAUCAGGUUGCUUAACGACCUAAAGGCGGUGGAAACUGGCAGACUAGAGAGCAGUAGGGGUAGCAGGAAUUCCCAGUGUAGCGGUGAAAUGCGA